UAAUCCUACGGGAGGCAGCAGUGGGGUAAAUUGGGCCAAGGGGGGAAACCUGAUCCCAGCAUGCCGCGUAAUGAAGAAGGCCGCAUGGUUGUAAAACUCUUGAAGCGAGGAGGAGGCUCCUGUAGUUAAAACUAGAGAUAGUGACGUACUCGCGCGAGCCGGCGGG
rnacentral:rRNA from 1 species